UUAAGCGACUAAGCGUACACGGUGGAUGCCCUGGCAGUCAGAGGCGAUGAAGGACGUGCUAAUCUGCGAAAAGCGUCGGUAAGGUGAUAUGAACCGUUACAGCCGGCGAUGUCCGAAUGGGGAAACCCAGUGCAAUUCGUUGCACUAUCGUUAACUGAAUACAUAGGUUAACGAGGCGAACCGGGGGAACUGAAACAUCUAAGUACCCCGAGGAAAAGAAAUCAACCGAGAUUCCCCCAGUAGCGGCGAGCGAACGGGGAGCAGCCCAGAGUCUGAAUCAGCUUGUGUGUUAGUGGAACGGUCUGGAAAGUCCGACGGUACAGGGUGAUAGUCCCGUACACCAAAAUGCACAGGNNNNNUGUGAACUCGAAGAGUAGGGCGGGACACGUGGUAUCCUGUCUGAAUAUGGGGGGACCAUCCUCCAAGGCUAAAUACUCCUGACUGACCGAUAGUGAACCAGUACCGUGAGGGAAAGGCGAAAAGAACCCCGGCGAGGGGAGUGAAAAAGAACCUGAAACCGUGUACGUACAAGCAGUGGGAGCACCUUCGGGUGUGACUGCGUACCUUUUGUAUAAUGGGUCAGCGACUUAUAUUCUGUAGCAAGGUUAACCGUAUAGGGGAGCCGCAGGGAAACCGAGUCUUAACUGGGCGUUAAGUUGCAGGGUAUAGACCCGAAACCCGGUGAUCUAGCCAUGGGCAGGUUGAAGGUUGGGUAACACUAACUGGAGGACCGAACCGACUAAUGUUGAAAAAUUAGCGGAUGACUUGUGGCUGGGGGUGAAAGGCCAAUCAAACCGGGAGAUAGCUGGUUCUCCCCGAAAGCUAUUUAGGUAGCGCCUCGUGAACUCAUCUUCGGGGGUAGAGCACUGUUUCGGCUAGGGGGUCAUCCCGACUUACCAACCCGAUGCAAACUACGAAUACCGAAGAAUGUUAUCACGGGAGACACACGGCGGGUGCUAACGUCCGUCGUGAAGAGGGAAACAACCCAGACCGCCAGCUAAGGUCCCAAAGUCAUGGUUAAGUGGGAAACGAUGUGGGAAGGCACAGACAGCCAGGAUGUUGGCUUAGAAGCAGCCAUCAUUUAAAGAAAGCGUAAUAGCUCACUGGUCGAGUCGGCCUGCGCGGAAGAUGUAACGGGGCUAAACCAUGCACCGAAGCUGCGGCAGCGACACUAUGUGUUGUUGGGUAGGGGAGCGUUCUGUAAGCCUGCGAAGGUGUGCUGUGAGGCAUGCUGGAGGUAUCAGAAGUGCGAAUGCUGACAUAAGUAACGAUAAAGCGGGUGAAAAGCCCGCUCGCCGGAAGACCAAGGGUUCCUGUCCAACGUUAAUCGGGGCAGGGUGAGUCGACCCCUAAGGCGAGGCCGAAAGGCGUAGUCGAUGGGAAACAGGUUAAUAUUCCUGUACUUGGUGUUACUGCGAAGGGGGGACGGAGAAGGCUAUGUUAGCCGGGCGACGGUUGUCCCGGUUUAAGCAUGUAGGCUGGUUAUCCAGGCAAAUCCGGAUAANCAAGGCUGAGGUGUGAUGACGAGGCACUACGGUGCUGAAGUAACAAAUGCCCUGCUUCCAGGAAAAGCCUCUAAGCAUCAGGUAACAUCAAAUCGUACCCCAAACCGACACAGGUGGUCAGGUAGAGAAUACCAAGGCGCUUGAGAGAACUCGGGUGAAGGAACUAGGCAAAAUGGUGCCGUAACUUCGGGAGAAGGCACGCUGGUGUGUAGGUGAAGUCCCUGCGGAUGGAGCUGAGACCAGUCGAAGAUACCAGCUGGCUGCAACUGUUUAUUAAAAACACAGCACUGUGCAAACACGAAAGUGGACGUAUACGGUGUGACGCCUGCCCGGUGCCGGAAGGUUAAUUGAUGGGGUUAUCCGUAAGGAGAAGCUCUUGAUCGAAGCCCCGGUAAACGGCGGCCGUAACUAUAACGGUCCUAAGGUAGCGAAAUUCCUUGUCGGGUAAGUUCCGACCUGCACGAAUGGCGUAAUGAUGGCCAGGCUGUCUCCACCCGAGACUCAGUGAAAUUGAACUCGCUGUGAAGAUGCAGUGUACCCGCGGCAAGACGGAAAGACCCCGUGAACCUUUACUAUAGCUUGACACUGAACAUUGAGCCUUGAUGUGUAGGAUAGGUGGGAGGCUUUGAAGCGUGGACGCCAGUCUGCGUGGAGCCAACCUUGAAAUACCACCCUUUAAUGUUUGAUGUUCUAACGUUGGCCCCUGACCGGGGUUGCGGACAGUGUCUGGUGGGUAGUUUGACUGGGGCGGUCUCCUCCCAAAGCGUAACGGAGGAGCACGAAGGUUAGCUAAUCCUGGUCGGACAUCAGGAGGUUAGUGCAAUGGCAUAAGCUAGCUUGACUGCGAGCGUGACGGCGCGAGCAGGUGCGAAAGCAGGUCAUAGUGAUCCGGUGGUUCUGAAUGGAAGGGCCAUCGCUCAACGGAUAAAAGGUACUCCGGGGAUAACAGGCUGAUACCGCCCAAGAGUUCAUAUCGACGGCGGUGUUUGGCACCUCGAUGUCGGCUCAUCACAUCCUGGGGCUGAAGUAGGUCCCAAGGGUAUGGCUGUUCGCCAUUUAAAGUGGUACGCGAGCUGGGUUUAGAACGUCGUGAGACAGUUCGGUCCCUAUCUGCCGUGGGCGCUGGAGAAUUGAGGGGGGCUGCUCCUAGUACGAGAGGACCGGAGUGGACGCAUCACUGGUGUUCGGGUUGUCAUGCCAAUGGCACUGCCCGGUAGCUAAAUGCGGAAGAGAUAAGUGCUGAAAGCAUCUAAGCACGAAACUUGCCCCGAGAUGAGUUCUCCCUGAGACUNGACGUUGAUAGGCCGGGUGUGUAAGCGCAGCGAUGCGUUGAGCUAACCGGUACUAAUGAACCGUGAGGCUUAACCUU
rnacentral:rRNA from 1 species